UCCCUGGUAGUAUAUCGGUUAGUACACGCGCCUGUCAUCCUAGUAACGUGCGCGCGAAAGCUGGGUUCGACUCCCAGCCAGGGAG